GAAAUGCGAUAAUUAAUGUGAAUUGCAGAAUUCAGUGAAUCAUCGAGUCUUUGAACGCACAUUGCGCCCCCUGGUAUUCCGGGAGGCAUGCCUGUCCGAGCGUCAUUGCUGCCCUCAAGCACGGCUUGUGUGUUGGGCUUCCGUCCCUGGCAACGGGGACGGGCCCAAAAGGCAGUGGCGGCACCAUGUCUGGUCCUCGAGCGUAUGGGGCUUUGUCACCCGCUCCCGUAGGUCCAGCUGGCAGCUAGCCUCGCAACCAAUCUUUUUAACCAGGUUGACCUCGGAUCAGGUAGGGAUACCCGCUGAACUUAAGC
rnacentral:misc_RNA from 1 species